CAAUAGCGUAUACUAAAGUUGUUGCGAUUAAAAAGCUCGUAGUUGGAUCUCAGGCAUGGGCGCACGGUCCGCCUCGCGGCGGUCACUGUGUGUUUUGUUUCCCAUCCUACGCUUCCCGGUUAUCAGCCCAUGGUGCUCUUCACUGAGCGUUUUGGGUGGCCGGAACGUUUACUUUGAAGAAAUUAGAGUGUUCAAAGCAGGCACGUCGCCUGAAUAAUGGUGCAUGGAAUAAUGGAAUAGGACCUCGGUUCUAUUUUGCUGGUUUUCGGAACACGAGGUAAUGAUUAAGAGGGACAGACGGGGCAUCCGUAUUGCGGUGUUAGAGGUGAAAUUCUUGGAUCAUCGCAAGACGAACAACUGCGAAAGCAUUUGCCAAGCAUGUUUUCAUUAG
rnacentral:rRNA from 1 species